rnacentral:lncRNA from 1 species
UCCACAUCAUCCCUGUAACACGGCCAAGGAUAUUCAUUAGUAUCACGACCACAAAUUAUCCAUGCACUAUGGGCCAAGGAUAUUCGUCUAAUCAUCAAUGGUCAUGAUCAUGCCAACAACUGUCCAUCAAUGCACUACGGGCCAAUGAAGACUUUUACUACAUCAUUUGUAACAUUACGGUCAUGAUUAUACCGAAUAAUCCCUGGUCAUAAUCAUACCAAGUCCAUCUAUGCACUACAGGCCACAGAUAACUUUCAACAUAAUAUAAACAUGAGGAUGAUGACAAUGAUAUAAGAAUUCAAUAAAAACAAGUUCAAGAAUUAAUUUACCCCAGAACUAAUAACGUCCAAAUUUUCAACAUGAUACUUCUUUGUAGAGUAAAAUUCAAGAAUGCUCAGAAAAAUAUUUUCAUGAAAAGAUACUGGAUGAAACGAAAAUAUCAAGGAUAUUCCACUAAUUUCAUGGAGUAUAGAAGACAAAACUUU